CCUACGGGAGGCAGCAGUGAGGAAUAUUGGUCAAUGGGCUGACGCCUGAACCAGCCAAGUCGCGUGAGGGAAGACUGCCCUAUGGGUUGUAAACCUCUUUUGUCAGGGAGCAACGCCGGCUACGUUUAGCCGGACUGAGAGUACCUGAAGAAACAGCAUCCGCUAACUCCGUGCCAGCAGCCGCGGUAAUACGGAGGAUGCGAGCGUUAUCCGGAUUUAUGGGGUUAAACGGGUGCGUAGGCGGAAGUACAAGUCAGCGGUAAAAUCGCGGGGCUCAGACUCGCGUCGCCGUUGAAACUGGCGUUCUUGAGUGCGCGAGACGUAUGAGGAAUGCGUGGUGUAGCGGUGAAAUGCAUAGAUAUCACGCAGAACUCCGAUUGCGAAGGCAGCUUACGGGCGCCCAAUUGACGCUGAUGCACGAAAGCGUGGGUAUCGAACAGGAUUAGAUACCCCUGUAGUC
rnacentral:rRNA from 1 species